GAUGAACGCUGGCGGCGUGCCUAAUACAUGCAAGUCGAGCGAACGGACGAGAAGCCUGCUUCUCUGAUGUUAGCGGCGGAUGGGUGAGUAACAUGUGGAUAACCUACCUAUAAGACUGGGAUAACUUCGGGAAACCGGACCUAAUACCGGCUCAUAUUUUGAACCGCUUGGUUCAAAAGUGACUGCCGGUCUUGCUGUCACAUAUAGAUGGAUCCGCGCUGCAUUCUCUAGUUGGUAAGGUAACGGCUUACCAAGGCAACGAUGCACAGCCGACCUGGGAGGGUGAUCGCCCACACUUGAACUGAGACACGGUCCAGAGUAGUACGGGAGGCAGCAGUAGGGAAUCUUCCGCAAUGGGCGAAAGCCUGACGGAGCAAAGCCGCGUGAGUUAGGAAGGUUUUCGGAGCUUAAAACUCUGUUAUGAGGUAAGAACAUAUGUGUAAGUAACUGUGCACAUCGUGACGGUACCUAAUCAGAAGGCCACGGCUAACUACGUG
rnacentral:rRNA from 1 species